AAAGGAUGACCCUGACCUGUGUUCGAGCACGGCCAGUUCAGACAUCUUUUUGGUGGUGCUGACAAAAUUAAAUUUGCUGGCCCAAGGGUUUGGAUUUGUGGCAUCUAAACAAGCUGGACAGAAACUGUGCCUCAGGGAGAAACAUCCUCUCAAGUAGUUGAAAAUAAACUUGCUUGGCAUGCCUUGUGUAUUACACGCAUUCAGCUGUGCACGUGGUGGGAACGGGGCAUUAGACAUGGCUCAAAAUGAGACAAGAAUCUCUGUAUGCCAGAAAGGUUUUCUUUGGCCCCUCUUCAGAGAUGGUUGGCAAAGGUGAAAACAAAAUGAA